UACGGAGGGUGCAAGCGUUAAUCGGAAUUACUGGGCGUAAAGCGUGCGUAGGUGGUUCGUUAAGUCUGUUGUGAAAGCCCCGGGCUCAACCUGGGAAUGGCAAUGGAUACUGGCGAGCUAGAGUGUGUCAGAGGAUGGUGGAAUUCCCGGUGUAGCGGUGAAAUGCGUAGAGAUCGGGAGGAACAUCAGUGGCGAAGGCGGCCAUCUGGGACAACACUGACGCUGAGGCACGAAAGCGUGGGGAGCAAACAGG
rnacentral:rRNA from 1 species